GACGUAGGGCGCGAGCGUUGUCCGGAUUUAUUGGGCGUAAAGAGCUCGUAGGCGGCUUGUUGCGUCGGCUGUGAAAUCCCAUGGCUCAACUGUGGGCUUGCAGCCGAUACGGGCGGGCUAGAGUUCGGUAGGGGAGACUGGAAUUCCUGGUGUAGCGGUGAAAUGCGCAGAUAUCAGGAGGAACACCAGUGGCGAAGGCGAGUCUCUGGACGACUCCUGACACUGAGGCACGAAAGCUAGGGGAGCAAACAGG
rnacentral:rRNA from 1 species